rnacentral:rRNA from 1 species
AAAGGCGUAAUGAAAGUGAAGGUCCGCCUUGCGCGGACCGAGGGAGGAUGGGUGGUCCCGAGGGGCCGCCUCGCACUCCCGGGGCGUCUCGUUCUCAUCGCGAGAAGAGGCGCACCCAGAGCGUACACGCUGGGACCCGAAAGAUGGUGAACUAUGCCUGGUCAGGACGAAGUCAGGGGAAACCCUGAUGGAGGUCCGUAGCGAUUCUGACGUGCAAAUCGAUCGUCGGAACUGGGUAUAGGGGCGAAAGACUAAUCGAACCAUCUAGUAGCUGGUUCCCUCCGAAGUUUCCCUCAGGAUAGCUGGCGCUCGCUUCUCGCGAGUCUCAUUCGGUAAAGCGAAUGAUUAGAGGCAUUGGGGUCGAAACGGCCUCAACCUAUUCUCAAACUUUAAAUGGGUGAGAUCUCCGGCUUGCUUGAACUGUGAAGCCGCGAGAUAUCGGAUCAGAGUGCCAAGUGGGCCACUUUUGGUAAGCAGAACUGGCGCUGUGGGAUGAACCAAACGCUGAGUUAAAGCGCCUAAAUCGACGCUUAUGGGA